rnacentral:rRNA from 1 species
GAUCAUGGCUCAGGACGAACGCUGGCGGCGUGCCUAACACAUGCAAGUCGAACGGAGCACCCCUGACUGAGGUUUCGGCCAAAUGAAGGGAAUGCUUAGUGGCGGACGGGUGAGUAACGCGUGAGUAACCUGCCUUUCAGUGGGGGACAACAGUUGGAAACGACUGCUAAUACCGCAUGAUAUAUAUGGACCGCAUGAUCUGUAUAUCAAAGAUUUAUCGCUGAAAGAUGG